UAACCAUGUUGUCUUGCUUUAUUGAUUGGCAAAACAUGGUUUUACUACAGUAAACGUUUGUUUUGGACUGCAUAACUCCUUUAAUAUAACCAUAAAUAAUGUCAAUAAAAAGGUCUGUUCAUUCAAUAAACCGGGAAAAAUCUGUAUGAACGUAUACGUAGAAAUAAUAUUGAGGACACACUGCACGAUAAUGAAACCUUUAGUUUGAUUAAAAGUCGAUUAAUAUUUCUGUUUUUAUUAAAUAAAUAUUCUAUGUUGGCUCUAAACAGGCAACUUUCUUUCUUGGAAGCAGCACUGGAAGAAGCACUUUACUUUCAUCUUUUAUAUCUUUAUUUACUUUUAUUAUGUUAUUAUUGGCGGAGGCGCGUAAGGCGCGUGUCCGUAUACCGAAUGCUUUGAUCACGUGAUUAUUCAAACCAGGAGACGCGCAAUCUGGAUUAACCGCUGUUCUCCUCAGACGAGUGUUUUGGUGGUAUUAUGAGGUAAGUUUCUUUACAUUCGUGGUUACUUUACUGAAAUUAGUUCACAGUGAUGUUUAUUCAGUUGUCAGUAUAUUUCGAUAUGUCUAAUAUAAUAACCCUUGAUGUUGACCGUUGGUUCGUUUCGUUCGAGCGCUGAGUGGGGUGAGCUGAGCUCGGCGCAGCUGUGAGCUAAUGGAGAUCUUUUAUUUGUCUUUAUAUCUUCUAUAAAAAUGUGUUAUGCAUGUUCUUAAAAGUAUUUAACAUAGUUAAGUUAAUUAUAACGCAAGUUUUCUCCAAGUAUUGCAAUGUGGGCUUAGUUCAGCUCCCGCCUAGAUUGACUGAGCUCGUGAGCUUACGUUAGUGGAGAUCUUUUAACUUAUUUGUUUUUUUUAUAUCUUUUAUAAAAAUGUGUUGUGCUUGUUGUUAAAUGUAUUUGACAUUGUUUAGUUAAUUAUAACGCAGGUUAACUACAAGUAUUGCAAUAUGGGAUUUGUUCAACAGGUCCCUCUUAUGAAAAACAACGUUAUCGUUUUACAGUAAACUUAAAUGAGCUAAAGGCCAUUCUGAAUUAAUACCUGUCGUAUAUUUAUGGUUACUUCUUUCAGAUCCCUUUCUUGGUGUGUCUUGAUUUUUCAUAUUGGCUAAAGACAAGAUAUGUCUGCAAAUGCUGGUUCCAUGUCACAUGGCUUAUUCGAGACUAGAUCUACAAAAAACACUGCAGAUUUUGUUACCAUCAACUUGCAUUAUACAACUGACAGACUGAAACGGUUGGACUCAAAAAUCUACAUUUGUGUUCCACUGGAGAAACAAAGUCACCUACAUCUUGGAUGGCCUGGGGACUACCUGACCUGUUCCUGUUAAGAGCUAUCUUUGUGGAAUGUUCCUGGCCCAUUUUUCCCAAGUUUUUACAAAAGUUUUUUCAAUGACCUCAAAAUUGAUGUGUAAAAAUUAUAAUAAACUUGAAU